GACGAACGCUGGCGGUGUGCUUAACACAUGCAAGUCGAGCGGUAAGGCCCUUUCGGGGGUACACGAGUGGCGAACGGGUGAGUAACACGUGAGUAACCUGCCCUCAUCUCUGGGAUAACAGUCGGAAACGGUUGCUAAUACUGGAUAUGAGCCUGCAAGGCAUCUUGUGGGUUGGAAAGAUUUUUUGGUUGGGGAUGGACUCGCGGCCUAUCAGCUUGUUGGUGAGGUAGUGGCUCACCAAGGCUUCGACGGGUAGCCGGCCUGAGAGGGCGACCGGCCACAUUGGGACUGAGAUACGGCCCAAACUCCUACGGGAGGCAGCAGUGGGGAAUAUUGCACAAUGGACGGAAGUCUGAUGCAGCAACGCCGCGUGCGGGAUGACGGCCUUCGGGUUGUAAACCGCUUUCAAUUGUGACGAAGCUUUUUGUGACGGUAGCAGUAGAAGAAGCACCGGCUAACUACGUG
rnacentral:rRNA from 1 species